AACGAACGCUGGCGGCAUGCCUAACACAUGCAAGUCGAACGAUGACUUCGGGCCUUGUGGCGCACGGGUGCGUACCGCGUGGGAAUCUGCCCUUGGCUUCGGAAUACCAGUUAGAAAUGAAUGCUAAUACAGGAUGAUGUCAUACUGAGUGCUCUUGGGGACUAACGAUUUAUCGGCCAGGGAUGAGCCCGCGUCGGCUUAGGAGGUUGGUGUGGUAACGGGUUACCAAGCUGACGAUCCAUAGCUGGUCUGAGAGGAAGAUCAGCCACACUGGGACUAGGACACGGCCCAGACUCCUACGGGAGGCAGCGGUGUGGAAUAUUGGGCAGUGGGGGGAACCCUGAUCCAGCAAUGCCGCGUGAGUGAUUAAGUCCUUAAGGUUGUAGAGCUCGUGUACCUGGGAAGAUAAUGACGGUACCUGGAGAAUAAGCUCCGGCUAACUACGUG
rnacentral:rRNA from 1 species